CAUCGUCCAAGUCCUCGUCCUCGUCCCGGGUAUUCAUCGCAAUCGAUCAAUGGUAAUAAUCACUGAGGAUGAUGAAUGGUGACAGCCAUGGUCGCGCUGAAUGACAAUAUCUUAAAUGAGAUGUUAAGUUGAGCAAUACAGAAGAAAACAAAUAAAAGAAUUAUUAUUAAUGUCAACAAUGCCUUGAAUACCUUGAACUGGAUGAUAAAAAUUGCGAGAUUAUUUUUUUUGACGUUGACAAUUAAAACGAAAAAAAGAAUGACCUAUCAAUAUUUAAGUAUAAUUUUAUUUUUAAACUCACUUUGUAACUUCUUUAUUAAUUGAUAGUGAUUAAAAAUAACAAAUCGAUUUCGAUGAUGUAGAUAAACGAAUUGGUAAAGAUGUAAAGACUAUUUUAUAUAUUAUAUAUCAACUGAAGUAAUUGAAUAUAGAGUUUAGUUACGGUAAUAAUUGGUUGUAUUUUGAAUUAAAGGAGUAUAAACCAACCGGCACGCGGGCGGAGAACUAACGCGGUAAAGCUAAGUAACAAGUAUUAGCAAGAAGUUAUAUAAUAGUAAACGGGGGUUGUUCAUGCGUCCACAUGCGUUGGCGGCGAUAUUUAACGACUGAAGUAGACUACUGACUGACCUGGCCCCUCUACUUGCAGAAGCUCCAUUCGAUUCAUUACUUCUACACUAACAUUGAAUUGUAAUGGUCUACAAAUAAAAUACAGACAACGCGAAUAGAGUAUAAUAUUCUAUGCUUGUCAUCAGGGUUGACUAGGACACGCGACUGAUCGUGACCAAUGCAUGACAUUCUGCAUUAAUUUUCUCCCUGCAAUUUAAUAAUUUAUAUACUCACUUUUUCACAAACGGAUUAUCUUCUUUACUAAUUAACAAAAAAAAUUACGUUUGCAAUAACGAUAAUUUAUAUAUCUAUUUGUGCGAUUCCAGAGCAGUUGACGAUGAUUAAAUGCUAUUUUAAAUGUGAUUUAAGAUCUUUGAAGCUUGUAAUUUUGUCAGACUAUGUAUGGGUAAUUUAAAUUACCUUUAUCAACUUUAACUAUCUUCUUCUUCUACAUUCUAUAGAUCUUAAUGACGAUGACCAAUUAGUUAUCAAGAAUUGUUAGGGGUAAUUAUGUUAUUAGUACUACGCAUUGGCUAAGCUUGGAGUAAUUGAAAAAAAUUAUUUUAAAGAGUUGGAAAUUUUUACA